GAAUGAAUUGCUGUUUGUCUAUCCAGUAUUCAUUCAUGAACAGGGUAAUUAAGGUACAAGCGUUGCUUGACUUUUCUCUCUGAGGUCUACAGAAGCAAACCGUGUUCCAGAGAGUUCCCAGCAGAGAACCGGUCUCUAUGACGCCGAGUUGAGCAGUUUGUCUGAAGGAAGGACAACAAGACCGCAUCACCGUGGCUACAGCAGUAACGUGCAGUUUGGCCGGCCCGACAGAAUGAGCUGCCCCACCCAACAGCUAUGGAGACUAACCAACUGCCGUGUUACUGUUUGGAGACAACCUACUUUCUGGAACACAGAUGAGAUUAUUGUACUUGACCUGAAUGAAGUGCUGGCAUGACAGUUGCAACAACAAGAUUUUCAUGACAGUAGACAACAGGAGCGCUAAUGUUAUCAGCAUACUCUGGAUUACCAACUUUGAAUAGGCUUGUCUCUCAACAUUAUCAUACCAUGAGAUACUUAAAACACCCCAUGCCAUAAGUAUUGUGGCAAUUACUUUACCUGGACAUGGACUUCUUCCACACUUCUGGAUCUCAACAGGUCGUCCUGCACACUGCAC